ACUGCUCAAAGGACUUUGCUGC
ensembl:miRNA mir-8186.1 ncRNA